UCGGGAAUUUUGGGCAAUGGGCGCAAGCCUGAUCCAGCCAUGCCGCGUGGAUGAUGAAGGCCUUAGGGUUGUAAAAUCCUUUCGUGGGGGACGAUAAUGACGGUACCCCAAGAAGAAGCUCCGGCUAACUUCGUGCCAGCAGCCGCGGUAAUACGAAGGGGGCUAGCGUUGUUCGGAUUUACUGGGCGUAAAGCGCGUGUAGGCGGGUCGUUAAGUUGGGGGUGAAAUCCCGAGGCUCAACCUCGGAACUGCCUUCAAAACUGGCGACCUGGACUCAAGCAGAGGCAAGUGGAAUUGCGAGUGUAGAGGUGAAAUUCGUAGAUAUUCGCAGGAACACCAGUGGCGAAGGCGACUUGCUGGGCUUGUAGUGACGCUGAGACGCGAAAGCGUGGGGAGCAAACAGGAUUAGAUACCCUCGUAGUCCCUGAGCGGGCUGGCAAGGCGCAU
rnacentral:rRNA from 1 species